CUGCCAUGAUGACAUCCAGUUGGUUUCGCUCACUUCUGAUACAUAGUGAUGAUUGUUUGCUCUUGGCUGUCUGAGCAG